GCCUGGUGGUGGAAUUGGUAGACACAAGGGAUUUAAAAUCCCUCGGCGUUCGCGCUGUGCCGGUUCAAGUCCGGCCCGGGGCACCA
rnacentral:tRNA from 2 species